rnacentral:rRNA from 1 species
GAUGAACGCUGGCGGCGUGCCUAAUACAUGCAAGUCGAGCGAACAGAUGAGGAGCUUGCUCCUCUGACGUUAGCGGCGGACGGGUGAGUAACACGUGGAUAACCUACCUAUAAGACUGGGAUAACUUCGGGAAACCGGAGCUAAUACCGGAUAAUAUAUUGAACCGCAUGGUUCAAUAGUGAAAGACGGUUUUGCUGUCACUUAUAGAUGGAUCCGCGCCGCAUUAGCUAGUUGGUAAGGUAACGGCUUACCAAGGCAACGAUGCGUAGCCGACCUGAGAGGGUGAUCGGCCACACUGGAACUGAGACACGGUCCAGACUCCUACGGGAGGCAGCAGUAGGGAAUCUUCCGCAAUGGGCGAAAGCCUGACGGAGCAACGCCGCGUGAGUGAUGAAGGUCUUCGGAUCGUAAAACUCCGUUAUUAGGGAAGAACAAAUGUGUAAGUAACUAUGCACGUCUUGACGGUACCUAACCAGAAAGCCACGGCUAACUACGUG